rnacentral:rRNA from 1 species
UGGGCGUAAAGCGAGCGUAGGUGGCUUGAUAAGUCAGAUGUGAAAUCCCCGGGCUUAACCUGGGAACUGCAUCUGAAACUGUUAGGCUAGAGUAGGUGAGAGGAAGGUAGAAUUCCAGGUGUAGCGGUGAAAUGCGUAGAGAUCUGGAGGAAUACCGAUGGCGAAGGCAGCCUUCUGGCAUCAUACUGACACUGAGGCUCGAAAGCGUGGGUAGCAAACAGGAUUAGAUACCCUGGUAGUCCACGCCGUAAACGAUGUCUACUAGUCGUUGGGUCCCUUGAGGACUUAGUGACGCAGCUAACGCAAUAAGUAGACCGCCUGGGGAGUACGGCCGCAAGGCUAAAACUCAAAUGAAUUGACGGGGGCCCGCACAAGCGGUGGAGCAUGUGGUUUAAUUCGAUGCAACGCGAAGAACCUUACCUGGUCUUGACAUAUCUAGAAUCCUGCAGAGAUGCGGGAGUGCCUUCGGGAAUUAGAAUACAGGUGCUGCAUGGCUGUCGUCAGCUCGUGUCGUGAGAUGUUGGGUUAAGUCCCGCAACGAGCGCAACCCUUGUCCUUAGUUACCAGCGGGUUAAGCCGGGAACUCUAAGGAUACUGCCAGUGACAAACUGGAGGAAGGCGGGGACGACGUCAAGUCAUCAUGGCCCUUACGACCAGGGCUACACACGUGCUACAAUGGUAGGUACAGAGGGCAGCUACACAGCGAUGUGAUGCGAAUCUCAAAAAGCCUAUCGUAGUCCAGAUUGGAGUCUGCAACUCGACUCCAUGAAGUAGGAAUCGCUAGUAAUCGCGGAUCAGAAUGCCGCGGUGAAUACGUUCCCGGGCCUUGUACACACCGCCCGUCACACCACGGGAGUUGAUUGCACCAGAAGUGGAUAGCCUAACCUUAGGGAUGGCGNUCACM